rnacentral:rRNA from 1 species
GACGAACGCUGGCGGCGUGCUUAACACAUGCAAGUCGAACGGAAAGGCCCUGCUUUUGUGGGGUGCUCGAGUGGCGAACGGGUGAGUAACACGUGAGUAACCUGCCCUUGACUUUGGGAUAACUUCAGGAAACUGGGGCUAAUACCGGAUAGGAGCUCCUGCUGCAUGGUGGGGGUUGGAAAGUUUCGGCGGUUGGGGAUGGACUCGCGGCUUAUCAGCUUGUUGGUGGGGUAGUGGCUUACCAAGGCUUUGACGGGUAGCCGGCCUGAGAGGGUGACCGGCCACAUUGGGACUGAGAUACGGCACAGACUCCUACGGGAGGCAGCAGUGGGGAAUAUUGCACAAUGGGCGGAAGCCUGAUGCAGCAACGCCGCGUGCGGGAUGACGGCCUUCGGGUUGUAAACCGCUUUCGCAUGUGACGAAGCGUGAGUGACGGUAAUGGGUAAAGAAGCACCGGCUAAGUACGUG